rnacentral:lncRNA from 1 species
UGGGAGCCGGCCCUGAGCUCGUCCUGCGUAGGGGUAGCCGGGCUCAGGGGGCGCCUGAGCUGGAGGUGGAAGCGUGAAGUCAGGACUGAGUGGGCGAAGAGAACCUGGGCUGAGACAUGGCCGCUUACCAACAAGAAGGGCAGAUGCAGCUUCCCCGAGCUGAUGCCAUUCGUUCACGUCUCAUCGAUACUUUCUCUCUCAUCGAGCAUUUGCAAGGCUUGAGCCAAGCUGUGCUGCGACACACUAUCAGGAGUUACUUGAUCCUUCCCGCCAGAAGAAACUUAUGUUGGGAGAUCAACACCAGCUAGUGGGCGUCUCUAUAAAGCCUCAACGUAUAGAACAGAUUUCACAUGCCCAGAGGCUGUUGAGCAGGCUUCAUGUGCGCUGCAGUCAGAGGCCACCUCUUUCUUUGUGGGCCGGAUGGGUCCUUGAGUGUCCUCUCUUCAAAAACUUCAUCAUCUUCCUGAUCUUUUUGAAUACGAUCGUACUGAUGGUUGAAAUAC